rnacentral:rRNA from 1 species
GAUGAACGCUGGCGGCGUGCCUAAUACAUGCAUGUCGAGCGAACAGACGAGGAGCUUGCUCCUCUGACGUUAGCGGCGGACGGGUGAGUAACACGUGGAUAACCUACCUAUAAGACUGGGAUAACUUCGGGAAACCGGAGCUAAUACCGGAUAAUAUAUUGAACCGCAUGGUUCAAUAGUGAAAGACGGUUUUGCUGUCACUUAUAGAUGGAUCCGCGCCGCAUUAGCUAGUUGGUAAGGUAACGGCUUACCAAGGCAACGAUGCGUAGCCGACCUGAGAGGGUGAUCGGCCACACUGGAACUGAGACACGGUCCAGACUCCUACGGGAGGCAGCAGUAGGGAAUCUUCCGCAAUGGGCGAAAGCCUGACGGAGCAACGCCGCGUGAGUGAUGAGGGUCUUCGGAUCGUAAAACUCUGUUAUUAGGGAAGAACAAAUGCGUAAGUAACUAUGCACGUCUUGACGGUACCUAAUCAGAAAGCCACGGCUAACUACGUG